GACAUUCUAGUUCAUUUAUUAAGUGUUUCGCCCAAGCCAAUGAUCCAAAACGAUUAAGACUUAGCUUGCAUCGAUUAUGCUUAUUGUCAACAUACCCUAUGGUGUCUUAGGCAUCCCUCAUAUAUGCGAUACCCAUGCUUCCUAAUAGAUCAUACCAUGUCAAAACUUAUUUUUUUCUUUCAAACACAGUGCAGAUAUAUACUACGAAUAUAAGCAUGCACACC
rnacentral:lncRNA from 1 species